UACGUAGGGUGCAAGCGUUGUCCGGAAUUAUUGGGCGUAAAGAGCUCGUAGGCGGCUAGUCACGUCGGAUGUGAAAACCCGAGGCUCAACCUCGGGCCUGCAUUCGAUACGGGCUGGCUAGAGUACUGCAGGGGAGACUGGAAUUCCUGGUGUAGCGGUGAAAUGCGCAGAUAUCAGGAGGAACACCGGUGGCGAAGGCGGGUCUCUGGGCAGUAACUGACGCUGAGGAGCGAAAGCAUGGGGAGCGAACAGG
rnacentral:rRNA from 1 species